rnacentral:tRNA from 1 species
ACUUGAAUAGCUUAUACAGAGCAUAGCACUGAAGAUGCUAAGGAAAUUAAAUAAUUUUUAAGUA